AGCAGCAGCAGCUCAGUGUUAAAGCCGUUUCUUGAUCCUUCAGGAAAAGCAGGGCUGCCGUCGACCCCUCCUACCAAACAACACGGGCAACUUUUUUGGAGGGAAAAUGGAAGCUGUCUCAUCCACCUGAGCCUGUGGGACCUCAGAUAUCACCUCCACCUGUUCCUGAUUUCUUGGACCGUUUGGAUGAGCUGUCUACCAAAAGCACAAGCGCCACCACAUGUGCACGUCUCAGCGGCUGUCCAGAAUGAGAACUGAAAAUCAGUGCCCCAUAGGAGACUCUUUUUCCUAUGUCCCGUGUCAAAACACUUGUGCAGAUAACUUUGCUGAGAUGCACAGCACAAGUCUGGGCUCCAUCUCUAGUUUCUGCUCCCCUGGCCUUUCUCGGUGGAGACAUUUUGGAUAUAUCAGCGUGCUCCACCCUCAUGUUGAUGUCUGCCAAGGGGAUAGUCGACCUCAAUAAGCCCCUGGAAAGUGCCUGUGUGUUCUUGGCCCUUCUAGUUUAAAGGCCCUUCCAGCAGCUCCACAGACAGGGUCCCCUGAUGCAUAAAGGUCACGCUGAGGCUGACGUUUUACUCCAGCUUUAGUCCCCCCUCUACAGGAUAGCUGUGAUGUCAUCCAGCUCCUAUUUCCCUGGAAUCAAGAAGCAUUGCUCAUAAACUGACACGCAGCUCACCCGACCCACCAGAGAGCCAGUAAAGGACGCUGAGUAACAGGCACAGAUGGAAAUGAGUUACAGAGUUGACCAUGGGAGGAGGUUUGGAGUCCUGCAGGAGUUACACAACACCAGAGGACCGUCUCCUCUCCUGUUCCAAAACUUCACAGCAUGCAGAGGGACAGCAGGAUGAAAAAUUUUCCUCUUCUUCCCAUGAAGAGGAACAUUCUUCCGUACUUACUGACAUCGCCUGUUUCCUUCUCCCUUUUCCUCCCACACUUUUCUCCCCUUUUUGCCUUUUGAACCUGGUCAUAUAUAGAUUUCGUUGGAGUGAUGGUGAGCAAGAGAAAUUUUAGCAAAU